UACGAAGGGGGCUAGCGUUGCUCGGAAUCACUGGGCGUAAAGGGCGCGUAGGCGGCCGAUCAAGUCAGAGGUGAAAGCCCAGGGCUCAACCCUGGAAUUGCCUUUGAUACUGUUCGGCUCGAGACCGGAAGAGGUUAGUGGAACUGCGAGUGUAGAGGUGAAAUUCGUAGAUAUUCGCAAGAACACCAGUGGCGAAGGCGGCUAACUGGUCCGGUUCUGACGCUGAGGCGCGAAAGCGUGGGGAGCAACAG
rnacentral:rRNA from 1 species